CUCUUGGUAAAACGAUUCUGGUUUUAGCUCUGACACUGAAUCUAGAAUAGCAAGUCCUGGUUCAGAUUCAGAUUCAUACUCAGCCUCAGGUUCAGGUUCAUCAUACUCAGCUGCAGACUCAGGCUCAGGUUCAUCAGACUCAGCUGCAGACUCAGGCUCAGGCUCGUAUUCAGGUUCAUCAUGCGACUCUACUUGAUCCUUUUUCUGGGUCCAAGUCACACUGUAACUUGAAGCUUGAUCAAAAAUGGCCUCACUAGAAUAACUGGCUUGGGAUUUAUGUCUUGGUACAGGCGAAUUGCGUCUGAAGCUUGAUGCUGGCCUGGUAAAGGGUGUUGCAUUAUGAUCUUUGUUUUGCG
rnacentral:lncRNA from 1 species